GCCCUUGUAGCUCAGCUGGAUAGAGCAUUCGACUUCUAAUCGAACGGUCGCAGGUUCGAAUCCUGCCAAGGGUG
rnacentral:tRNA from 1 species